rnacentral:rRNA from 1 species
UACGUAGGUGGCAAGCGUUGUUCGGAUUUACUGGGCGUAAAGGGCGCGUAGGCGGCGUGGUAAGUCAAUUGUGAAAUCUCCGAGCUUAACUCGGAACGGUCAAUUGAUACUGCUGUGCUAGAGUACAGAAGGGGCAAUCGGAAUUCUUGGUGUAGCGGUGAAAUGCGUAGAUAUCAAGAGGAACACCUGAGGUGAAGACGGGUUGCUGGGCUGAUACUGACGCUGAUGCGCGAAAGCUAGGGUAGCAAACGGG